CCAUCCAAGUAAACUAGUUCAACUUUAAAUUAGGUUGGUGUAACUUCCACUUGAGUUUGUGUGACCAAGCUUUGAUUUAUGUUAUUCAGCCCGAGCCUAAUACAUGCUUCCCUAUUGUAUUCUUAAAUUUUGUUAUUAUCAUUCCACAAACCUUGAAUUAUCCUGUUUAAUGCAUCCUUGAAUUUCUUUAACAUCCCUCUUGUAAUCGAACCAUUAGGUAGCUGAAUUGCAUCAAUGUUCUUGUAUUCUAUCUUAUUUACAACAAGGACUAUGAUUACAAGAUCAUCUACCACCCUGGGAGAGGUAAUAUAGUUGC
rnacentral:lncRNA from 1 species